AACCACUGCACCACCAGGGAAGCCCAAGAUACAGAUUUUAAUAAGAAAAUAUUAGUCAACAGUUCUCUUAUCUCUAUGUCUUUUUCUAUCUCAUUGAUUGUGAAGAAUACAAUCAUAGAGAAAGCAAACUCUACAUCAGCUGAAAAUUUUUUCCACCUGCUUGCAUGUUAUAGUGGAUGUGUAACAUCUUCACACAGUUUGUGAAAUCACUAUUUCACCACAAAAAUUAAAUAUGACACUAAAAUGAUCUGACACUAAUUAGUCCAUUGAAUAAGGGGAGGAGGAUUGGCAUCUUGGUCAUCGUUUAGAAGAAAAAAAAAUCAUUAACCUGUUAGGCAAAAUACUUGUCUUUAAAUUAUCCCUUAAUAAAUAUAAUAGAAAAUUAAACAAAAUGGCAGUACAGUGUUAUGAAAGGAAAGCAAUUGGGUUGAUCUCAAAAUGAGUGAGUAUAAAAAUCAAUGUUUUUUGUUUAGUUUGUUAAUAAUUUUAUUCUUAGAGCUCUCAGGCAGCUAGCUUUUGGUCAUUUUUAAGAUCAAUCAAAAAAUUCUAAACAUUAUUUUUAAGGUAUGCAGAUCACUAGGCCCUCCCCACCUCCUUUCUCUCUUUCUUUUAAUUUUUAAAUUUAUUUUGGGGAGUUUUGGCUACCAUUUAUGUUCUAAUCAUGUUUUUCAGGAAGUGAAUUUGAACUUUGAACCUCACCUAGAUUGAAUCCUACCUCUAUUGUUUUCUAUCUCUAUGACUUAGGUUUCCUGAGUUUCUGGGAAGGCCUGGUUUCCCCAAAGGAACGAUUUCUGGUAGAAGUCUGAAGGUCUGACCGAAGAAAAAAAAUCCAGUACAGCCAAUGAAUUGAGGACAAGAAGGUUUCC